AAGACCUUGCGCUUUUGGAGCGGCCGAMGUCUGAUUAGCUUGUUGGUGAGGUAAAGGCUUACCAAGGCUUCGAUCAGUAGCUGGUCUGAGAGGACGGCCAGCCACACUGGGACUGAGACACGGCCCAGACUCCUACGGGAGGCAGCAGUGGGGAAUUUUGGACAAUGGGGGCAACCCUGAUCCAGCCAUGCCGCGUGAGUGAAGAAGGCCUUCGGGUUGUAAAGCUCUUUCAGCCGGAACGAAACGGUUACGGUUAAUACCCGUGACUACUGACGGUACCGGAAGAAGAAGCACCGGCUAACUACGUGCCAGCAGCCGCGGUAAUACGUAGGGUGCAAGCGUUAAUCGGAAUUACUGGGCGUAAAGCGUGCGCAGGUGGUUUCGUAAGUCAGAUGUGAAAUCCCCGGGCUUAACCUGGGAACU
rnacentral:rRNA from 1 species